AUGCGCACCAUGCUCAUCGCCGCGCUGCAUUGCAGUGCGGUGGGCGGCCACUCCGGCUCCACCGCCACCUACCAGCGCGUGCGCAAGCACUUCGACUGGCGGGGGCUCAAGCGCGACGUCGCCGAGUUCGUGCAGCAGUGCACGGUGUGCGAGCAGGCCAAACACGAGCACAUCAAGCCGGCGGGUCUCCUGGCCCCGCUGCCCAUUCCAACAGCGCCCUGGGAAGACCUGACCAUGGACUUUGUCGAAGGCUUGCCGCGCUUGGAGGGGUACGACACAAUCAUGGUGGUCGUCGACCACUUCACCAAGUUUGCCCAUUUUGUUCCCCUCCGCCACCCCUUCAACGCCCAGCAGGUUGCGCACGCCUUCUGGGAGAACGUGGUGAAGCUGCACGGCAUUCCCGCGUCCAUCGUCUCCGACCGCGACAAAAUCUUCACGAGCCAUCUAUGGCGUGAGCUGCUCGCGGGCGCAGGCACCAAACUGCUCUACUCAACAGCCUAUCACCCCCAGACAAACGGCCAGAGCGAGCGGGUGAACCAGUGCAUGGAGCUGUACCUCCGUUGCGCAGUUCACAACUCGCCGCACAAAUGGCGCCGGUGGCUGCCAAUGGCAGAGUUCUGGUACAAUUCGACAUUCCAUGCAUUGCUCAAUGGCACUCCCUUCAAGGCUCUCUACGGCAAGGAAGCCAAUCUAGGCGCGAUGGCGUCCUGGGUGGAGUUAGCGCCGACGGACGAGGAGAUGGACUGGGCGGCGCACACUGCGCAAAUUCGCGCCCAGCUGGAAUGCGCCCAGCGCCGGUUCAAGAAGAACGCCGACCGCAACCGCACCAAGCGUCACUUUCAGGCGGGUGAACAGGUGCUGCUCAAGCUUCAGCCUUAUGCUCAACGUUCGGUGGUCAACCGCCCGUGCGCCAAGCUCGCCUUCAAGUACUUUGGUCCGUACAAGAUCAUCGAGAAGAUCGGCACGCUCGCAUACAAGCUCGACCUGCCGCCAGAAAGCCAGGUCCACCCUGUCUUCCAUGUUUCGCAGCUGAAGCCCUUCACCCCCGACUUCACACCGGUGUACGGCGAGCUGCCCAAGGUGCCGGACCUCUUCGUCGACAACCUCGCCCCUACGCGCAUCCUGGACCGGCGUAUGAUGAAGCACGGCGAUGCGCCGGUGGUGUAG
rnacentral:rRNA from 1 species